AUGUGGGAAUCAUAAUGGCCGAAAAUCUAAGGUUUCUUGGGGAAGGUUCGUCCGCCCAAGGUAAGCCGGGAGCUAAGGCGAGGCCGAAAGGCGUAGUCGAUGCACAUACGGUUGAAAUUCCGUAGCCACCUUAUCGAUAAAAGCUGACACAUAGAGAUAGCCGAACCCGGGCGUUGGUUGACCCGGGCGAAAGGGACCGAACUACAGUAGGGAAGUCGGCGAUGCUCUGUGGCGAGAAAAGGCGAAGAUAGGGUGCCCGUACCGCAAACCGACACAGGUAGAUGAGGAGAGAAUCCUAAGGCCAACGGGAGAAAGGUUGUUAAGGAACUCGGCAAAAUUGCCCCGUAACUUCGGGAGAAGGGGCGCCCUCGAAAGAGGGCCGCAGUGAAAAGGCCCAAGCGACUGUUUACCAAAAACACAGGUCUCUGCUAAAUCGAAAGAUGACGUAUAGGGGCUGACGCCUGCCCGGUGCUGGAAGGUUAAGAGGAGGACUUAGCGCAAGCGAAGGUCUGAAUUUAAGCCCCAGUAAACGGCGGCCGUAACUAUAACGGUCCUAAGGUAGCGAAAUUCCUUGUCAGGUAAGUUCUGACCCGCACGAAUGGCGUAACGAUUUGGGCACUGUCUCAACAGCCUACCCGGCGAAAUUGUAGUACCGGUGAAGAUGCCGGUUACCCGCAACUAGACGGAAAGACCCCAUGGAGCUUUACUGCAGCUUAAUACUGAGAUUCGGUAAUUCAUGUACAGGAUAGGUGGGAGACUUAGAAACAGGGUCGUCAGGCACUGCGGAGUCACCCUUGGGAUACCACCCUUGGAUUGCUGGGUUUCUAACCUGCGGCCAUGAAUCUGGUCGGGGGACACUGUUAGGCGGGCAGUUUGACUGGGGCGGUCGCCUCCUAAAAAGUAGCGGAGGCGCUCAAAGCUUGGCUCAGCAUGGAUGGAAAUCAUGCAAUGAGUGUAAACGUAUAAGCCAAGUUGACUGCGAGACCGACGGGUCGAGCAGGUACGAAAGUAGGAGUUAGUGAUCCGGUGGUAUGUGAGUGGAAAUGCCAUCGCUCAACGGAUAAAAGCUACCCUGGGGAUAACAGGCUGAUCUCCCCCA
rnacentral:rRNA from 1 species